AACCCCCCAUCUCCCAUAUAAGUGCCCGAAUCCCACCCCCAAACCCUAGAGACCCUCACUCUUCUUCGUCUCCCUCACCUUAGCCCUAACCCUAGCCUCCCUAAUAUUCUCUACAAACCCCACCAACGGCCACCACCCAACCUUCUCCAAACCCACUGAAAUUCACACCCCAUAAUCCCAUCUUCCUCCUCAUCUCAUAUCUUGCCUUAGUUUCUUCCAAAACACCCUAGAAAUCCCUGAAUUUUAGAUCAAAGAAACAACCAGAUUGUUCAAAUUUCUUGGUCCGUUAUUUCCUCAGCGCCUGGGUUUAAGGGGUUCAUCUGUACAUGAUGUGUUAUUUUAUUGGCUACUAGGACUCUAUGCAAGGCCGUGUUUCUUGGAGGAAAAGACCCUUUAUGUGGUCGAUUGGCAUGAAGUAGGGCAUCGUAGACUUUCUCACAUUUUUUUGCCCAUAAACGGUAAAAGAUUUUCAUCAUUGUCUUCUCCGUCUUUCCUAUUUGAAUCAGUAACUUCAUACCCUCUUUAGCUUGUUAAAUUACUUGUUUUUCGUUUGAGAGUCAUUCAUUUCAAUCUUCUAGUCAUGUUUGAUUAGGUUUGUUCUAGUCUAUUAGUUAUCAAUUUGGGUUAAUCCAAGCCUGUUUAGAUUAAUUAUAUAAAUCAUUUUGUUAUCUCAGUAAUUAGUUGUUUUGCUGAAUUUGAAAUCACUUGAUAAGUUGUUUGCCUAAUAAUUAAUUAACAAGGGUCUAGAGUAUGAUUUUAGCUCAGUAAUUUCAGUUCAACUCUAUUUGGUAUCAAUUAGAAUUUGGGGGGAGAAAUGAGAAUUUCAGAUAAGGCAUUAGGAAGUUUCUAGAUUUUGGACACCUGUCCCAAUUUGUUAAUGAAAAGAUGAUGAAAUUGAAUGUCCAUUUUCUGUUCCAAAAGAUGCUCUUUUCCUAAUUUUUAGGGCUGAGAUUUAGGGAAAUAUUCCUUUUAUGCCUUAUGAGCACAUGGCAGAUAUUCCUUAUAUAUAGGACCUAUUCUCUCUCAAAACACUCAGAUUUUUUACACAAAAACCUUCAAAUAGAUAGGCUGACUCUCUUGAUUAAAUUUUCUGAUUUUUCUCCUCCUUAAGCUCAAACCAAAGGAAAAAUAGAAAAACUGUUCAAGUUGGUGGUUUUUUCCACUUAAUCUGAUGGUCUCUUUCCAUUUCUACUAGUUUUGCUGAUUUGAAUCGAGAGUUGUAGCAUUUUGGUUGUCCUGCUGUGUUCUAGUUGCUAUUUUUACUGUUUUCUGCUAUUACUCACUGAUCCUUAAGCCUUAUUUCCUUAUUCAGUUCGCUUUUUAUUCUAGGCACCCUCUUGAAUCUUUGGAUCUCAAUCAGAUAUGAAAUAUGAUUUUAUGAAAGAAAUAUGUGCACGGUUGAGUUAUGUCAAGCAAACAUGUGCAAGUUCUUAAUCUAUAUAUUGUUUUAAGUUAUUUUGUUUCUUCUUGGUUUGUUAUUCUGUUAGAAUCAGUGGUUGUUGAAUUAUCUAUACCUAAGUUCAUUUGUAUUUAAAAAUAUUGUUCUUCCACUCCUGUAUUAAUCUUGUGUGAGUUCUGAGUUUGGCAUAAAUGUUCCGCAAUUCCUCAUCCUAAACUUAGCUUGCUUAUAGGCAUAUUAGCUUGGUAAAAAUAGUGUUACUGCUUCACAGAGUCCUCUACUAGUUGAUUAAAUGUUUUGUUGAACUAUGCGUGCUGUCUGAUAAUUACUGUCUAUUCAGAAUUUUUUCUUAUGUUGUUUGCGCCUAAAUCCAUGUUUAAAUAUGCAUAUACAAGAGGUUAAUUUAAGUAUUGAUGUUGAUAUGUUGUUUUAAAAGAUAGAUUUGAUGCUUUAGUUAUGUAGCGUAGCUAGUGCUAUGAGAUAUCAAAUUGAAACAUGAUUUCUGGAUUUUGUUUGUUGGGCCAUUAUGUGGUAACAUGGUAUGGGCUGCUGAAUUCUUUGUAAUAAUUUGGAGAGCCUCUGUAUUUUCGGCUGGGAAUCCAAUUUGGUCAAGAUCCCCAAAAAUGGGAAUUGGGCUUGAGUUUAACUGUUAUUGAAUUGUGUUAUCUAGAUGGGCAUAAGCUUUCCUGUUUGGCCUCACUAAAUAGCCCAUUCUUUUAAAAUUAAUAAACGCCAAUUGCCUCUCCAAUAAUCUCAGAGUUAGCCUAGAAUAUUGACUUACAAAUAUUAGUAAAUAAUGCUUUAGGCGCGAUUUAAUCUAGCAUCAUGAUUGUGUACACGUUCGUGUGACAUAAUUAUGAUUCUAAAAACAAAAUCGAGGUAUGCGUUCACGCAACUUCGACCAAACUUUCUUAAUAUUAAUAAAGCGUGAUUAAUUAUGGAUACGUACACAUGCCAUGAUUCUUGACGCGCCAAACGAACUGAAUACACGUACGCGUGAUUCAUUUCAAAUUAAAAAGCUUAAAAGUAAAAUGUAUAUAGGUUCCAAAACAUGUAAUUAGACAAAUUGCUUAAGCCAGAUAUGAUUAAAGCGAUCAUACUAAAACCAUGGAACCCGGGAAUGCCUAACACCUUCUAUCGGGUUAAUAAAAUUCCUUACCCGGUCUUCUGGUUUUGCAGACCUUUAAAAUAGAGUCGAUUUCCUUGAUUUGGGAUUUAAAAUAAACCGGUGACUUGGGAUACCAUACAAUUAUCCCAAGUGGCGACUCUGAUUAAAUAAUCCCAUUUCGAUUAUUG
rnacentral:lncRNA from 1 species